rnacentral:lncRNA from 1 species
CUUAUUUCUACACUUAGUUCCUUAAGUACUCGUGGAUGGAUACCAUCAGGCACUGGAGCUUUGUUUAUAUUAUCUUUCUUUAGUUUCUGCAGCACCUUGUCUUGAGUUAACCAAUUACAAUUAUUCUGCAAGUUUUUAGUAGCAAUCAUUUGCACAUCUAUUGCCAUGGGUUCUUCCUUAAUAUAUACAGAGGAGAAAUAGUUAUUUAAAAUUCCUGC